AGCAAUUAAAUAUAGGAUGAAAGAAUCUCAGUUUCUUAUAGCCAUUGUCAUAGUCUUAUUUAUUGCGUGUGCCGCUGCUCAGUCCUCAAGAGAGGAAGAAUGGAAGUCACUGGGAAACCCAUACAACAGAGAUCUGUUUUUCAAGUUCUUGAAAUCAUACAUUACUGGGAGGGGAAUACACAUGAUGAAUCCUGGUACAAAGGAAAAACUUGUGAAUGAUCUACGAAGCAGCGCAGACUCCAAAUACGGAAGCUUUCAACAAAUGAUGGAC